GGCCAGCCGGUUUCUGCAUCAAAGUUGUAAUUUUACACAAACCGAUUAAGAGAGAUAGCAGUCCUACCAAACCCUAAACCAUAAAAUUAAUUCUAGCAUUCUAUAAUAAACAAGAGUAAGUCUUCUUCUCUUAGGUGAUUAUAUAAGUCUUCUUCUCUUAGGUGAUUAUAUUUUCUUCCUUCAAAAAUAUAUUAAUGAUAUCAGUAGUAGAAGUACAAAAAUCUUCCUUUUUUUUUUUGCAUUAGUAUAUAAAAAUCUUGUACAUCCAAACAUCUUCUCUUUUUACCCAAACUACUGAUAAAAUAGGAAAUACACU
rnacentral:lncRNA from 1 species